rnacentral:siRNA from 1 species
GAACCGAUUGGAAAGAGUGGUGGU